GCUGAGGAGUAUAUAAGGAUGAGGCUGCCAGCAACUCACUGCCAGAGUGUUCCCCUUAGUGGAUUACCUGAACCUGACCUUGCCUUCCGCGUGGAACAGCCUGGAUUAACCACUUCUGGAAAGAAGCGAUCCAGCUCCAUGAACAAAGACUCAAGCCUCUCGUUACCUUGUUGGACCACACAGGU